GCCAACCUCAAAGUCAGCCGGAAACCAUGGAAGGAGUUUGACGCCAUUGAAGAGGAGGGUCUUCUGGAUGGUGAUAUUCCCCCAUAUGGCUUGCCUCGUCGUUGCUAUUUUCUUGCUUUUGUUGUGGGCUUCUUUGUACUUUUCUGUGUGUUUUCGUUGAUUCUUUGGGGUGCAAGUCGACCUCAGAAACCUACAAUCAUUAUGAAGAGUAUAGUUUUUGAUCAAUUUGUAGUACAAGCUGGUUCGGAUUUCUCUGGAGUAGCUACAGAAUUGGUGUCCAUGAACUGCUCGGUGAAGCUCACAUUUCGCAACACUGCUACGUUCUUUGGGGUUCAUGUAAAAGCAACACCUUUAGAUCUAACUUACUCUCAGCUCACUGUAGCUACUGGAACCAUGAGAAAGUUCUAUCAAUCAAGAAAGAGUCAAAGAUCACUAACAGUAAAUGUAAAGGGGAGUAGUAUACCCUUGUAUGGUGGGGGAGUUAACUUGGGCAGCUUGAAUGGUGCGCCAACUCAACCAGUGCCAUUGACACUUAACUUCAUGGUUCGUUCAAGAGCUUAUGUUCUGGGCAAGCUGGUGAAGCCCAAGUUCUAUAAGAGGGUGGAAUGCACGGUGGUCAUGGACCCAAUGAAAAUGAAUAUGGCAAUUUCGCUCAAGAACAAUUGCACUUAUCAGUAAAAAUUAAUUCAAUUAUUAUAGUUACAUCUCCUUGAUCAUGCAUGAACUUGGAAGGAAACAAAAGGCUAGGGAGUUAUAUAUUAUUAUUUUUAUUAUUUAAUUUGUUAUAUAUUAUCUUAUAUUUUGGCAAUAUGUAAUCAAUUAUAAGUUUUGAUUCAGACAGAAGAUGGGGGGUGAGGGGAAGAUUGCAACCUCCUGAGAAAACAUAAACUGG
rnacentral:misc_RNA from 1 species